AUUGCACGCUGGCGGCAGGCCUAACACAUGCAAGUCGAACGAGUGGCGGACGGGUGAGUAAUGUCUGGGAAACUGCCUGAUGGAGGGGGAUAACUACUGGAAACGGUAGCUAAUACCGCAUACACUCGGAUGUGCCCAGAUGGUAUUAGCUAGUAGGUGGGGUAAAGGCUCACCUAGGGGACGAUCCCUAGCUGGUCUGAGAGGAUGACCAGCCACACUGGAACUGAGACACGGUCCAGACUCCUACGGGAGGCAGCAGUGGGGAAUAUUGCACAAUGGGCGCAAGCCUGAUGCAGCCAUGCCGCGUGUAUGAAGAAGGCCUUCGGGUUGUAAAGUACUUUCAGCGGGGAGGCGUUACCCGCAGAAGAAGCACCGGCUAACGCCGUGCCAGCAGCCGCGGUAAUUC
rnacentral:rRNA from 1 species